GCUGAAACUUAAAGGAAUUGGCGGGGGAGCACCACAAGGGGUGAAGCUUGCGGUUUAAUUGGAGUCAACGCCGGAAAUCUCACCGGGAGCGACAGCAGUUUGAAGGCCAGAUUAAAGGUCUUGCCAGACGAGCUGAGAGGAGGUGCAUGGCCGUCGCCAGCUCGUGCCGUGAGGCGUCCUGUUAAGUCAGGCAACGAGCGAGACCCCUAUCCGUAAUUGCUAUCUGUUCAGAGAUGGAUAGAGGCUAGUUACAGAGACUGCCGCUGCUAAAGCGGAGGAAGGAAGGGGCCACGGCAGGUCAGUAUGCCCCGAAACUCCUGGGCCACACGCGGGCUGCAAUGGUAGGGACAAUAGGUUCCGACCUCGAAAGAGGAAGGCAAUCCCGAAACCCUACCUCAGUUGUGAUCGAGGAUUGAAACCCGUCCUCGUGAAUAUGGAAUCCCUAGUAACCGCGUGUCAUCACCGCGCGGUGAAUACGUCCCUGCUCCUUGCACAGACCGCCCGUCGCUUCACCCGAGUUGGGUCAGGACGAGGUCAUCUCAU
rnacentral:rRNA from 1 species